CAAAACUCGUACCUUUUGCAUCAUGAUCUAGCCAGCACCCCCAAGCAAAGAGAACUCCAGUUUGUACCCCCGAAACCUACAACGAGCUACCCCGGAGCCGCCUAAAACAGGGCAAACCCAUCUCUGUGGCAAAAGAGUGAGAAGACCCCCGGGUAGAGGUGAUAAGCCUACCGAGUAAGGUUAUAGCUGGUUGCUCAGAAAAUGAAUAGUAGUUCAGCCUCAUAAUGCCCCCAACCGACCUAACCAUUCCUACAGGCGACAAGGGCCACCCAUGAGAGUUAGUUAAAGGAGGUACAGCUCCUUCAACAAAGGACACAACCUUAAAUAGGAGGUUAAGGAAUACACUUUAUCAAAGGCUCAAAAGUCCUAGUGGGCCUAAAAGCAGCCAUCUAAGUAGAAAGCGUUAAAGCUUAAACAAAACCAAGCCUAAUAUCCCAUUCAUCCCUCCAAUACCCCUAUAUUCUACUGAGCCAUUUUAUGCCCCCAUAGAAGAGACCAUGCUAGAACGAGUAAUAAGAAGAACGAACUUCUCCCCGCACAUGUGUAAAUCGAACCGGACAAACCACCGAUAAUUAACGAACCCAAAAACAGAGGGUCCCACACAACCACCACCCAAACCAAGAAAACCACGUCCCCACCAUAAUCGUUACCCCUACACAGGAGUGCAUAUACCCAAAGGAAAGACCAAAAGGACAAAAAGGAACUCGGCAAACCAAAACCCCGCCUGUUUACCAAAAACAUCGCCUCCUGCUACUUCA
rnacentral:rRNA from 1 species